rnacentral:rRNA from 1 species
AGAGUUUGAUCAUGGCUCAGAACGAACGCUUGCGGCACGCCUAAUACAUGCAAGUCGAACGAGAAAGUCCUUCGGGAUGAGUACAGUGGCGCACGGGUGAGAAACGCGUAGAUAACGUGCCUAUAGGUGGGGGAUAACUGGUCGAAAGAUCAGCUAAUACCGCAUAAGACCACAGUCUCUUCGGGGACAGGGGUCAAAGAUUUAUCGCCUAUAGAUCGGUCUGCGUCCGAUUAGCUUGUUGGUGGGGUAAUGGCCUACCAAGGCUCUGAUCGGUAGCUGGUCUGAGAGGAUGAUCAGCCACACUGGAACUGAGACACGGUCCAGACUCCUACGGGAGGCAGCAGUAGGGAAUAUUGCGCAAUGGGGGAAACCCUGACGCAGCGAUGCCGCGUGAGUGAUGAAGGCCUUCGGGUUGUAAAGCUCUGUCGUAAGGGAAGAUAAUGACGGUACCUACAAGAAAGA